GGAAUUCCUAUUGGAUGAUGUAAAUGCAAAAUCUAAAUGGGAUUCUAGCAUUCAUGAAGGUGUAAUACUGGAGAUAAAUUUAGCAAAAACCAAAAUCUUCACUGGACUGUGUCACAUCUCUGAAGGGCAGAAUUGUCAGCACUUCUGAAGACUUCGUAGCAAGGUGGAUUUGUGAAGUCAGUAAACAUUUCACUGCAGAAAAAUGAUGAAGUCAGAACAACUGGAGGAAAGCCCUCUUCAAUAGCACAAUUCUAGGGAGGCCGAGAUGGGUGAGUCAUGAGGUCAAGAGAUCGAGACCAUCCUGGCCAACAUGGUGAAACCCGGUCUCUACUAAAAAUACAAAAAUUAGCUGGGCGUGGCGGCGCAUGCCUGUAGUCCCAGCUACUUGGGAGGCUGAGGCAGAAGAAUUGCUUGAACCCGGGAGGCGGAGGUUGCAGUGAGCUGAGAUUGCGC
rnacentral:lncRNA from 10 species